rnacentral:rRNA from 1 species
UACGUAUGGUGCGAGCGUUGUCCGGAUUUACUGGGCGUGAAGGGGGCGCAGGCGGCGCGCCAAGCCCGAUGUGAAAGCCCGGGGCUCAACCCCGGGACUGCAUUGGGAACUGGCGUGCUGGAGUGCCGGAGGGGCAGGCGGAAUUCCUGGUGUAGCGGUGAAAUGCGUAGAUAUCAGGAGGAACACCGGUGGCGAAGGCGGCCUGCUGGACGGAUACUGACGCUGAGGCACGAAAGUGUGGGGAGCAAACAGG